UAGUCAUAUGCUUGUCUCAAAGACUAAGCCAUGCAUGUCUAAGUAUAAAUGUUAUACAGUGAAACUGCGAAUGGCUCAUUAAAACAGUUAUAGUUUAUUUGAUAAUCAAACUUACAUGGAUAACCGUGGUAAUUCUAGAGCUAAUACAUGCUGUCAAGCCUGACUUUUUGGAAGGGCUGUAUUUAUUAGAUAACAAACCAAUAUUCCUCGUGUUUAUUGUGCUGACUCAUAGUAACUGAUCGAAUCGCAUGGACUUUGUCCGCGAUACAUCAUUCAA
rnacentral:rRNA from 1 species